GACGAACGCUGGCGGCGUGCUUAACACAUGCAAGUCGAACGAAGAGCGAUGGAAGCUUGCUUCUAUCAAUCUUAGUGGCGAACGGGUGAGUAACGCGUAAUCAACCUGCCCUUCAGAGGGGGACAACAGUUGGAAACGACUGCUAAUACCGCAUACGAUCCAAUCUCGGCAUCGAGGAUGGAUGAAAGGUGGCCUCUAUUUAUAAGCUAUCACUGAAGGAGGGGAUUGCGUCUGAUUAGCUAGUUGGAGGGGUAACGGCCCACCAAGGCGAUGAUCAGUAGCCGGUCUGAGAGGAUGAACGGCCACAUUGGGACUGAGACACGGCCCAGACUCCUACGGGAGGCAGCAGUGGGGAAUCUUCCGCAAUAGACGAAAGUCUGACGGAGCAACGCCGCGGGAGUGAUGACGGCCUUCGGGUUGUAAAGCUCUGUUAAUCGGGACGAAAGGUCCUCUUGCGAAUAGUUAGAGGAAUUGACGGUACCGGAAUAGAAAGCCACGGCUAACUACGUG
rnacentral:rRNA from 1 species